CCUACGGGAGGCAGCAGUGGGGAAUAUUGGACAAUGGGGGGAACCCUGAUCCAGCCAUGCCGCGUGUGUGAAGAAGGCCCUCGGGUUGUAAAGCACUUUCAGUGAGGAAGAACGCCUGGUGGUUAAUACCCAUCAGGAAAGACAUCACUCACAGAAGAAGCACCGGCUAACUCCGUGCCAGCAGCCGCGGUAAUACGGAGGGUGCGAGCGUUAAUCGGAAUUACUGGGCGUAAAGCGCGCGUAGGUGGCUUGAUAAGCCGGUUGUGAAAGCCCCGGGCUCAACCUGGGAACGGCAUCCGGAACUGUCAAGCUAGAGUGCAGGAGAGGAAGGUAGAAUUCCCGGUGUAGCGGUGAAAUGCGUAGAGAUCGGGAGGAAUACCAGUGGCGAAGGCGGCCUUCUGGACUGACACUGACACUGAGGUGCGAAAGCGUGGGUAGCAAACAGGAUUAGAUACUCUAGUAGUC
rnacentral:rRNA from 1 species